UCUUUUUCUUCUUACUCACUUUGUGAGAUAUAAAAACAUAUUCCGUGGAAACUUUCCACUUUCCUAGUCAUUUUAUAUGAAUCCAACUAUUAAGUUUCCUCUACUAUGCUCUCUAUCUGCCUCAGCGCCUGAGUCCCAUUUUCUCAAUGCGUGCCUUAGUAUUCUGUUUCUUCCUCCCUCCCCCUUUUCUCAAUAAAUCCUCUGUAGUCCCAGACUCCUCUCACUCUCUCUCUCUUAUUCUCUUGUUCUCUUUUGCUGCCUUUUCCCCCCUCUCUUAGCUUCUUUCUCACAGAAGUAGCCCCCUUUCCUUCACCCCCCUUUUCUGCUAGACACACAUAUGGUAAGAAUUACAGUCAUGACUCAUAGCUCUCGUCCCAGUCGGUUCCUCAUAACGACAAUGAAAACAGAGCCAGCUGAAAAAAAAGAUACAGACAGAGGGAAGAGAGAAUGUGGCUCACAAGAACCCCUUCAUCCAAAUUCAAAAACACUGUCCGGAAAAAUAUACUAUUCCAAUGUGCUGAUGUGGAGACUCGUUGCACCAAAACUGAAUACGAGCACCACUACUCAAAAUGAAUGAGACAAUUUACUAUUAUUAGUCA